rnacentral:tRNA from 1 species
GCCUUCCUGGUGUAGUGGUCAGCACGCUCGACGCGUAUUCGAGAGGUCCGUGGUUCGAUUCCCGGUGAAGGCG